GGGGGCAGCGGGGGCGGCGGGGGCGGCGGAAGCAAUGGGGGGGACAGGGGGUGCGGCUCCCCCCGGACUGCUGGCGGGGUUCACGGCGCGCAUCACCGCUCACGUGGUCCCCCGCCGUGGAUCUGCAGCCACGGACGCCCUGCAUGGCGCCGCUGACCUCGAGUUGACCUCUGCCACGGCCAUGAUGGCCGCCCUGGCACCAGCGGGCAACCUCACCCAAUCCGACGGCACCCACCCUGGGCCCUGACCCAUGAAUCGCUCUACCCAUCUCCUGGGCCCUGGACCCUGAAUCACACCUCUCCCCUCAUCUCCCUGACCCCGGGCCCUGACCCAUGAAUCGCUCUACCCAUCUCCUGAACCCUGGACCCUGAAUCACUCUACCCAUCUCCUGGGCCCUAACCCAUGAAUCACUCUUCACAUCUCCUGGGCCCUGGACCCUGAAUCACACCUCUCUCAUCUCCCUGACCCUGUGCACUGACCCAUGAAUCUAUUUUAAAAAUAUUUGUAUUUUAUCAAGUAAGGCCCACUGGGCUUUACAGCGUUUUUUUAGAAGCGACAAAUUGAAGCUUAAUGAAGUGACUUAUCGUGUGAACAUUUAUAGCAGACAAAUAGUCUAAACGCAUGAUUCUAAAUGUGGAGGCGAUCACGGGGAGAGAGAGAGAGAGAGAUACACUGCAAACUCCAAAUAUACAGCAGCAGGUGUCAGGGUCGGGAUUUAACCCAUGUCCUCUUGUAUACCAGGCGAGGUAGUUAACAUCACCUAGCCGCCGUGGGGCCCACGUGGUUGGCAUUUGCCAUCGAUUUGUGCGCCAUCGUCGGACAGGGCGAGGGUUGGGGUUGUAGUUCAGGGAGCCAACCUAGCGUCGAGUUGUUGGGUUAGGUUCAGGGUUAGGAUUGGGGCAGAGUUAUGGUCAGGGUUCGGGGCAGAGGUAACGAUCAAAAGUUUAGGGGUUAGGAUUGUGGGGGGUGAGGGGUUGGGUUUGGGGGGUGACCAGCGUUAGGAUGGUGGCAGGACCCAUAUGUUUAUGAUUCUGUGCGUAGGUUAUAAUCUUUAGGGGGCGAUUCCGCACACCAAUGUACAAUCGCAAUGAUUCCAUCAUCAGCUGUCGCUCACGCGUUUCCUCUCGGAUGGCGGACAGACUCGGACUGAUGGUCUGUCUGACUACUGUGGUGAUGUCUGAGGUAUGUCGGUGUCUGUUGAGCUGUGUGUCCAACUGUGAGUCCAAACGCGGUAAUGGGUCUGUCGAUACGUGGUUUUGUCUGUGGGUCUGUCUAACUGCGGGUCCGUCUAAUUGUGGGACUGUCUUACUGUGGGUCUAUCUUCACUGUGCGUCUGUGUAACUCUGGGUCUGUCUAACUGUGGGUCCGUCUAGUUGUGGGACUGUCUUACUGUGGGUCUAUCUUCACUGUGUGUCUGUGUAACUCUGGGUCUGGAUAACUGCGGGUGCGUCUAAUUGUGGGACUGUCUUACUGUGGGUCUAUCUUCACUGUGUGUCUGUGUAACUCUGGGUCUGGAUAACUGCGGGUCCGUCUAAUUGUGGGACUGUCUUACUGUGGGUCUAUCUUCACUGUGUGUCUGUGUAACUCUGGGUCUGGAUAACUGUGGGUCCGUCUAAUUGUGGGACUGUCUUACUGUGGGUCUAUCUUCACUGUGUGUCUGUGUAACUCAGGGUCUGGAUAACUGUGGGUCCGUCUAAUUGUGGGACUGUCUUACUGUGGGUCUAUCUUCACUGUGUGUCUGUGUAACUCUGGGUCUGGAUAACUGUGGGUCCGUCUAAUUGUGGGACUGUCUUACUGUGGGUCUAUCUUCACUGUGUGUCUGUGUAACUCUGGGUCUGGAUAACUGUGGGUCCGUCUAAUUGUGGGACUGUCUUACUGUGGGUCUAUCUUCACUGUGUGUCUGUGUAACUCUGGGUCUGGAUAACUGUGGGUCCGUCUAAUUGUGGGACUGUCUUACUGUGGGUCUAUCUUCACUGUGUGUCUGUGUAAUUCUGGCUCUGGAUAACUGUGAGUCUUAACUGUGUGGCGUGUCUGUACAUAGUUUGUCAGACUGCCGGGAAUAGGUGUGGUCUGUGUGGAUAUUCGCCUGUAUCGAUGUGUGGGGAGCGGCCGUGUAGCGCUAUGAACCCGGCAACCCGAGUUCAAAGCCCGCUCACGGCUAACAUCGGCAACGAUUGUUUGAUCUGGUCCUGGGCCUCCCCCUAGGUCGACUCAGCCUCAAAUGAGUACCUGGUGCGGUGUGUAAACAUCACCACUGGGGAGACAAAGGCGGCCGGGCGUGGUGCUGGCCACCCACCUCCUCGUGUGCCGUGCCGGCUGUCAUAGGUGCACUUGAUUGACUGUUGACCUGUCUGGUUGUAGUCUGGGUCUGUCCGACUAAAUUUUGCAUUCUGCCAUUUUCUGCUGAAAUAAAGUUUACAGUCGCUG